ACUCAGAGCACAUACUUCUUUAUGUACCCAUAUGAACUUACACUGCUAUGGAAUGUAAAGAAGUAUGUAUUUUGGGU
rfam:Mesocricetus auratus contig237668, whole genome shotgun sequence.